AACGAACGCUGGCGGCAUGCCUAACACAUGCAAGUCGAACGAACCCUUCGGGGUUAGUGGCGCACGGGUGCGUAACGCGUGGGAAUCUGCCCUUUGCUUCGGAAUAACAGUUAGAAAUGACUGCUAAUACCGGAUGAUGUCUUCGGACCAAAGAUUUAUCGGCAAGGGAUGAGCCCGCGUAGGAUUAGGUAGUUGGUGGGGUAAAGGCCUACCAAGCCGACGAUCCUUAGCUGGUCUGAGAGGAUGAUCAGCCACACUGGGACUGAGACACGGCCCAGACUCCUACGGGAGGCAGCAGAGGGGAAUAUUGGACAAUGGGCGCAAGCCUGAUCCAGCAAUGCCGCGUGAGUGAUGAAGGCCUUCGGGUCGUAAAGCUCUUUUACCAGGGAUGAUAAUGACAGUACCUGGAGAAUAAGCUCCGGCUAACUCCGUGCCAGCAGCCGCCGUAAAAC
rnacentral:rRNA from 1 species